ACUUGCAAGAGGCAGUCAGAUGACACUGUUAAAUGCAUAGCCUCUGGGGCUAGACAGCCUGGAUUCGAAACCACAGCUCUGCUGCUCAGUAGCUAAUGUUUCGUCGCCUCUCUGGGCCUCAGUUUCUCCCUCUGUCAAGUGGAGAUGACAGUAGAACCUGUUUCACAAGAAGGUCGUGACAAUCGGGGACACGGGUGACUGGCUCUCCAUCCCUCCCCGAUCCGAGCAGUUGGCAGAGACAUCCUGCCAGCAGCUGGGGAGGAGGGCUGUACACCAAGAAACUGACAGCAAGGGCACUGAAUCUUCUGCUCUGGACCCUCCUUCUCCCAGAACCUUCCAAGUGGGUGCCAAAGAUAUUUCUACGGGCUCAGCUGCAGCUUGGAGAUCCUUCUUGAGAUACUGACUUCCUAUGGCCUGGUCUCCCUCCUAAGGCCCUACUCACCAUUGAGCAGAAACAGACAUACUGUCAACCUCGUUAUCACCUAAGUAUGACCCUCUGUUCUUAUAAUUACUUAAAACCUACACCUCACAGUAAGAUCCAUGAUACAACCACUUCGUAGACCAACUGUGAGGAUGCACUAAUGCAUGCAGAAUGCUUAACUCAGCCCCCAACACACAGAAAGUGCUCAAGAAAUUAUUAUUCUGAAUUUUCUCCUAUGCAAAAGUGGGUUUUGU